rnacentral:rRNA from 1 species
UAAGAAUAUUCCGCAAUGGACGGAAGUCUGACGGAGCGACGCCGCGUGGAUGACGAAGGCCGAAAGGUUGUAAACCUCUUUCAGCAGGGACGAAGCGAAAGUGACUGUACCUGCAGAAGAAGCACCGGCUAACUACGUGCCAGCAGCCGCGGUAAUACGUAGGGUGCAAGCGUUGUCCGGAUUUAUUGGGCGUAAAGAGCUCGUAGGCGGUUCGUCACGUCGGAUGUGAAAACCUGGGGCUUAACCCCGGGCCUGCAUACGAUACGGGCGAACUAGAGUUCGGUAGGGGAGACUGGAAUUCCUGGUGUAGCGGUGAAAUGCGCAGAUAUCAGGAGGAACACCGGUGGCGAAGGCGGGUCUCUGGGCCGAUACUGACGCUGAGGAGCGAAAGCGUGGGGAGCAAACA